ACCAUUUUCUACCCUCCAGCCAAGUGAAUAUCAGUUGCUAACAUUUCCUUUUGAUAUCUACAUCGUGAUCUGACUCCUAACACUUCAUUACGCUGUAUCUUUUAUAUCUGUGUGUCUCAGCCAAAACUUUCAAUGCAGCUUAAAGUCAGAAUAUCUACUUAAUUGUAUUUAUUUGGGCUGGGAAAGAUUUCCAAACAUGCAUGCCCUAGCAGAGCAAAACUGGUCUUGGGUCCAUCAUUGAAUUUGAAAAUGUAUUUAUGAGUUGGGGCCAUUCAACCGAUCAAUCAACUCACCAGAGACUAUCUUCCUACACCAACUCCUUCUAAACACAAGUAGCAAAUUAAAACUGGUUCUUUUCUGUAUCUUUUUCACAGUUGAAAUCAGAAUAAUUUCAAGAGCAGGCUCGCUUUGGCUGCACGUGUACUAAAGUUGGAACAGUACAGAAAGAUUAGCGUGGCCCCUCAGCAAGGAUGAUGUGCAGAUCCAUGGAGACUAGUUUCAGGAGCUAAAUCAGAGUGUUGUGAAUAGUCAUAGAAGCAAUAGCGAAGAGCAUCUGUCACGGAGAAAUGAGCGGUCCUUGGCCACAGCACAUAAAGCUGCUCCAUGGAGCUGGGGAGCGUGCCCUGUGGUCUGUGCAGGGGCUGAAAAUGUCAAGACUUGAGAAGGACUCGUCUCCUCUGUUCCCUUCAGGAUGUUUUAAUGAUUACCAUGUGAUUACAGAUACACUGUUUUCUUUUACUUCUUGAAAGACGUGGGGAGAUUAAAGCAAACAGACAACUGAUACCAAAUUGCUAAAUUAAAGGUAAAAGUUGGCACUUCUUACAUAAAUAGUGUUUUUUGUAACAUUACGUUUGAAUUCUUUAAGAAAGAGCUGCAUUUUCAAAAUGUGUCCUUGCGGUGCCUGGCUGGCUCAGUCGGCAGAACACGUGACUCUUGAUCUCAGGGUCAUGAGUUUGAGCCCCACUUGAGCAUGGGGCCUACUUAAACAUG
rnacentral:lncRNA from 1 species